rnacentral:rRNA from 1 species
GACGAACGCUGGCGGCGUGCCUAAUACAUGCAAGUCGAGCGAAUCGAUGGGAGCUUGCUCCCUGAGAUUAGCGGCGGACGGGUGAGUAACACGUGGGUAACCUGCCUGUAAGACUGGGAUAACUUCGGGAAACCGGAGCUAAUACCGGAUACUUUCUUUUCUCGCAUGAGGGAAGAUGGAAAGAUGGUUUCGGCUAUCACUUACAGAUGGACCCGCGGCGCAUUAGCUAGUUGGUGAGGUAACGGCUCACCAAGGCAACGAUGCGUAGCCGACCUGGGAGGGUGAUCGGCCACACUGGGACUGAGACACGGCCCAGACUCCUACGGGGGGCAGCAGUAGGGAAUCUUCCGCAAUGGACGAAAGUCUGACGGAGCAACGCCGCGUGAGCGAAGAAGGCCUUCGGGUCGUAAAGCUCUGUUGUUAGGGAAGAACAAGUACGAGAGUAACUGCUCGUACCUUGACGGUACCUAACCAGAAAGCCACGGCUAACUACGUGCCAGCAGCCGCAGUAACAC